GCUCGGACCUCAGAUCAGACAAGACCACCCGCUGAGUUUAAGCAUAUCACUAAGCGGAGGAAAAGAAAC
rnacentral:rRNA from 17 species